CGUUAGUGCACAGUUCGCUCCGUUAUCGCCAAGUCGUGUCUGAACCGCGAGAGGUGAUGUACUGCAUCAAGCCCUCGGCGGUCUCGGUUGCCUCUGUCAAGUGACGAUUGGACUUGGGCUUCUUAUUGUGGAAUUUUAUUAAAUUGGUGACAUUUGACUGAUAAAUCUAAUUAAUAAAUUCUUUAUAACGUACCCGUAUAAUGUGCAGUAACUUCUUUCGAAAUAAAUGAAUUCUCAUGAAGAAAAUAAAAUAUUAGUAGAUAUUAAUUUCUGGAUCGAUUUUUUGUGAGAAAGAGGAAUUUUGUGAUUUAGUAGUUCGCCCCUUCAAGAUGAAUAGGGGCGUCCGCGUCGAGCCGACGCCGCCAGAAUGCGCGCUGGCGGCCGAAAUGUUCGACCACUUCUGCUCUGCGGGCACCAUGAAGCAAAUCCUCGCGCUACACAGGGAGAUCUGCAACACACUCAACCUCAAACCCAACAGACUGCCAGACUUCUACCCGAAACUUAAGGCGAAAUUAGCAAGUUCAUGGAAAGCACAAGCAUUGUUUAAGAAGUUCGACGCCCGAGCCAACCACAAAGUGUACGCGAAGGGCAGAGCAUGUGCUUCCGGCAAGGUGCUCAUCAUCGGUGCCGGACCUUGCGGCCUUCGAGCAGCCAUAGAAUGUCAGCUCCUUGGUGCCAAAGUUGUCGUGAUCGAGAAACGCGACAGAAUGUCUCGAAACAACGUACUGCAUUUAUGGCCGUUCGUGAUACAAGACCUGAGGGCACUCGGCGCAAAGAAGUUUUUUGGCAAAUUCUGCGCCGGCUCCAUAGACCACAUCAGUAUCAGGCAGCUGCAGUGUAUACUUAUGAAGGUGGCGCUGUUACUAGGAGUGGAGUUACAUGAAGGAGUCAGUUUUGAAGAAUUAUUAGAGCCUAGGGUUGAAAAUUCUGAAACACUGGGUUGGAGGGCGCGCGUCCUGCCAUCAGACCACGUCGUAUCUCAGUACGAGUUCGACGCGCUCCUGGGCGCCGACGGCAAGAGGAACACGCUGCACGGGUUCAAACGCAAGGAGUUCAGGGGGAAGCUCGCUAUGGCUAUCACUGCCAACUUCAUCAACAGGCAUACAGAGCAGGAAGCAUCGGUACCAGAAAUAAGCGGUGUGGCGUUCAUAUUCAACCAGAAGUUCUUCAAGGAGCUGUACGAAGUGACCGGCAUCGACUUGGAGAACAUUGUGUACUACAAGGACGACACACACUACUUCGUCAUGACCGCCAAGAAACACAGCUUGCUGGACAAGGGAGUGCUGCUUAAUGACUACAAUGAAGUAUCACGUUUACUAAGCGUGGAGAACGUGGACCGUGCAGCUUUAAUGCGUUACGCGCAGGAAGCCGCGCGGUUCUCCACGGACGGCCGCCUGCCACUGCGGGACUUCGCCCUUAACCACUACGGGGAACCCGACGUAGCGCUCUUCGACUUCACCUCCAUGUACGCCGCUGAAAACGCCAGUAUGGUAUACGAGCGUCACGGUCGGCGCUUGCUGUGUCAGCUGGUUGGAGACAGUUUGCUCGAGCCGUUCUGGCCAACUGGCUCGGGUUGUGCUCGAGGGUUCCUGUCGGCGCUAGACGCUGCCUGGGCCGUCAGAGCGUGGGGCCAGAGUCCAGCACCGCACCCACUCGAAGUCAUAGCCGAGAGAGAGUCUAUUUACAGACUUCUAGCUCAAACGACGCCGGAGAAUCUGCACCGUGACUUCGGCGCGUACACUUUAGACCCGGGUACGCGCUACCCGAACUUGAACCGGGCAGCGGUGACGCCACACCGGGUCACUUCCUUCUACGACUCCGACGAACCGUUACCAUUGGACGCCGCUCCUAGUGCUAGGAAGAGACGGAGAGAGGCUGAAGUAUCAGAGGAGGCGCUCGUGUCGUGGGUGGCGUGGACGGAGCCGGGUAUCAGGGCGGCGUCCAGUCCCGCGGCGCUCACUGAGCUGCUGCGCCGCUACCGACCAGACUUGCUGCCCUCCUCCACGCUACCAAGAGCCGUGUACCACAUACUGCAGCAGGAGUUCGGCAUAGCGCCGUUCUCAUCAGGCGGUUCGUUGCGCGACGUGCCCGAUGCGAAGCUACGUUCGUACCUGACGCGUGUGUACUACGCCUUCAAAGGCGAAGUGCCGCACGUGCACCACGAGACCGAUGUCUUUGAUCAGAUCAAACAAAGCAUGCAGAAAGAGAAACACGUUCGCAACAUAGAACACCCUGUAUCUGUAUACACAAACGCGGCCGACGCCGACAAAUCUCACUCGAGCUACAGAAAGAAACGGCGCUCGGUGCGUCCCCAACAAGUAAGUAACGAUCCCGCCGAGUACAUUCGCAAAAAGAUCGGCAAACUAGACCUUAACGACAUCACACAGCUCGCGCGCCUCAUCGAGGGCCACGACGCCGUCACUGACACCGACACACAGAUAGACAAACAGAAAGACUUACAGGACCAAAUACUGGCGCUCCUCGACCCCGACGAGUCGCCCGACCCGAAGGUGCUCAGGCAAUCUCUAGCGCAGCUCCUGCAGGGCUCCACCAAGGUCAGGGUUCAGGAACCGACACAACUAGCGCAUUUCUUCCAAGAAGCAGAUGCUAAACCUGUGAAGCCACCACGGAGGCUGAAGGGCCUCGACAUCAACAGCAUACGGAUACCAGAUUUCUCAAUGUUUGAUGAUUCCCCCGACACGGAUGCUACGGUCGUCAAAGUGGAAGCUAAGAAGACUUUUAGUAGGUCACUGUCGACGGAGAGCGCCAAGAAACUACAGUAUCCUUCGUCUUCUUCUCUUGAUGGCGGAAAUAAGUUUACCAGGUCUUCUGAAAGCCCGUUACCGCAGAAGGGUAGGAGACUGUCAGAUGUCGUAAACACUAGUAGAAUUAGGCAUUCGCAGAGUCCUGAAGUCAAGGUUCCUUACAAAAGAUCCAACUCGAUAGGAGCAUCUGAAAUAGCAAAUACUAAGCGAAUCGCUCAGUUGUUCGAGGGCCACAAGCGGCGACAUACACCCAGCCCGGAGUCCCGAUCUAUUCGUUCCGGUUCCACUACAAACCCUGAGAUGGCACUACGCUUACAACGUAUGACAGAAAUCAUCGAAGGCAAGCGUCGAGACACGCCGAGCCCAGACAGGCGGGACAAGAAAGAAUGUAUCGGCACCCCGGAGAUGGCAGUGCGGCGCCAGAGAGUGGUGGACCUCAUCAAGCAGGGACAAGGAUUGGGCCAGGAACAUAAACAACGGCAGCCUCCAGAUAUACCCCAGAGACGCAACAGCGACGAGAUGACGUUUAGGAUGCAGAGAGCUUCAGAUAUGAUGCAGAAACGAAGUGCCGAGUCGAAGAGGCCUAAGACGGGCCGGCGCAAAGCCGCGCGGGAGAUCACGAAACAGCGUUUUGAGAAGAGUCUGCAGAUGUUGGCGGCGGAGCGUCGCCUGGACUUUGCUCCGUCCGCCGACCUGGAGAACGACUACGGACUGCAGCAGUACCGCGCCAGCGCGCCCGACUUCGACGAGAGAGUCAAGAAGCUGGAGAAAAAGCUGCAGCACUAUGAGGAGGGUCGUAUAGUCGGCGGUGGUGGCAGGACGGCAGGGGGCGGUGCCAGGGUCGCCCGCCUGGCUGCAGAGCUCAGUGGGACUUCAACCAACACUACAGCACCUCGUCCCUCGUCCAAACCUAAAGACUUGAUGCGUUCUGUCGGCAAGAUAGAGAGGGAUGACUGGAACAUGAAGGAGAUCGAACGGAAGAUCAUGGAGAACAGACUCGGCCGGCCCGAGCCGAAGACUGCUGAGCGGGUGCCCAAGUGGGAUCGAGAACAGUUCCUGGGCCGACAGCGCAAGUUGAAGGAAGGUGAGGGUAACGAAGAGAAAUGGGUGGAAAUCGACGAAACGCUACACAAACUCGACCAGAAGCUCAAGGACUCCGGCAGACCUGACCAGGGUACUAAGAAGGUUGCGAAUUUGGCGACGAAGUUCGUCAAGAAACAACCUGAAGCCGAAAUGUCGAAGACUCCGCCGAAAGAAACAUCGAAAGAGGACGCGAAGAAGAGUUGGCGCGGUCCUGCGUUCACGGGUAUGCAGUGCGCGGCGUGCGGCACUCGCGUGUUCGCGGCCGAGGGAGUCACCGCCGACGGGCUGCAUCUACACCGCGCCUGCUUCAGGUGUGCCGUCUGCAAGACUGUGCUCAGACCUGGUAACUACACGAUGGAGCGCUAUGGUAGCCGGCUAGUCUGUCUCCGGCACUCCGGCGUGAGUGUCCCUGACGCUGUGGCCGCAGUGACUGCCCUGGCCAACGCUCGCAGUCACCCUCCUCCUCCCACUCCUGAGAGGAUCAGCCUGGAGCUCUCUGAUAGUGGCGCCAGGGAGAUCGAUGAGGAUGAAUGGACUGAUAGAAACUUCUUGGCGUCGGAAACCUCAUGUGCUGGUGGACUUAGUGACGAGGAGGAGUCGAGUUCUGACGAGUACACAGAUGCGGGAGACAGUGACAACGGAGUGGCUGUGUCACCUGAGCCUCAGGUCGCCGCGCCGCGACCUGCGCACUCGGAGCUCUACUUCUCCGACGAUUCCUUCGGCUAUGAUGACUACUCGGAUGAUGGAGCGGAAUCAUCAGGCAACGAGUCCUGUUCUCGCAUGCGAGCGGCGCGCGAGGCUCGUCGGCGCGAGGUGCCGGCGGACGCGCGCCCGCCGACGGACAGCAGCGAGGUGGAAUCCGAGGAGGAGAGCGAGUCCAGCGACGAGGAAGUAUCCUCGGCCACGGAGGUGUCGACGGACAGCGAAUUCGCGAGGGAGGAGGUGGCGCCUGCGCCCUCCCCACCUGCCAUAUUGGUGACGGAGGCCACGCCCCCCGCGCCCCCGCCCCCGCACGAGUAUCCGCUCAGCCGCACGCGCUCCGCCGGCGGACUCGCCACCAAGCGCGCUCUAGAACUCAAGCGACGGUACCUGCUCGGGGAGCCCUCGCCCCCCGCUGUCAGGAAGUCGGACUCCACCUCGCAAAUAGACACCAAGUUCGAAGCCUUUAGAUCUACCAUCACAGAGUUCCAGAAAAUGUUGCACCCCGCGCCCGCACCCACGCAGCAACCACAGCCACAGAAACCAGUAGUCACCUUCCAACUAUCCACCGAAGAUAAGAAGUCACAGCCGAUGCCGGACAUCAUUAAGAACCUUGUCGCCGAUGCACCAGUCGAUUUGCUCACCAAAGUAGAUGCACCGCUCAUCAAGGACUGGAGGAAGGAAUCCACAAAGGAUGAGAAGGAUCCGGAUUUGGAUUCAGACUCGUUGUCCGAAGAUGAGUCGUCCCACACGGAGACUGCGCCCAACCAGUCGGUGCCUCGACUCGAGGUGCACGACGAGGGCGGGGAGCUGAUACAGCUGGACAGUCUCAUGUUGAUCAACAACAGCACGGAGGACGAGAAGGCGUCUGGCACAGCCACCGCGACCGGCACCACCAUCGUCGCGGCGGCCGAGUCCGAGUCUUCAGAGUCUGGCCGCGACGCCACUACGCUGGCGCUCACCGAGACUGAGCUCUCCGACUGGGCGGCCGAGAGCGCCGUGCUAGACGACUGUGGCUUUGACGACAAGGAGGAGAGGAAGAGGAGCAAGAACCCUAGAACCCUAAGUGGUCCUAAACUGGUGCAUGAUGCGAAGAACGUCGCCGCGGUCGCGUCCCACGUGUGUGGGAGGAGCAGCCCUGUCGAGGCAGUCGUCUAUUCUAACGCUUUAGAACAUUUCGAGUUUGCUGACGAAGGGGAUCAAGACCCCUCUCUGGAGACUCCCGUCACUCCGAGGAACGACGGUUAUAUGGAACUGGUUGACAACGACUACGAUACAUAUUCGCCGGGAAACGAUCGCUCUAUGAAUUUUAUUGAGAGGAGUUUUUCUGAAACCGUUUUCAAGCCAGCCAGCCAAGAAAACAGCUACAGACAGAACUUAUGCCCUAUUGAUUUGGAUGACAUAGAAGAUAUCGACGCAGACACGGAACCUUUAGACUUGAAGUCGCCACAACUGUUGAAGUCGGUCGAGAAUGAUGUUAGCGAGAAGUCCAAUAGCGACAGCUUGCAGAAGAGUGAGAGUAUACAUAAAAGUGAUAGCUUACAUAAAACUGACAGCUUGCAAAAAACUGACAGUUUACUGAAAACUGACAGCUUAUUGAAGACUGAUACGAUGAGCAUGCAGAGAAGUGACAGUAUUUUCAAGAGUGAGAGUGUACAAGUAGAUAAUAGUUCAGAACCGAAGAUAGAAAAUAAAAUAGAAACAUUAAGUUUAUCAGAAAUAUCGCCGCCAUUAGAGAAAGACAAAGUAGGCGAGACGGAGCAGUCCGAGGUGUCUCCGCCGCUGGUACCUGACACUCCCAAGGCGAAGCUCCCGAUGAGCAUUCCGUUCUCCGGGCCGUGCACCAUCCGGCUGUACUCGCCCGCCAUCUGCCGGUCGGCCAGCGAGACGUUCAACAGGUCCACGUCGCGGAGCACGGACUCGCCCACGCGGAGCUUCGAGCUGUCUGUGUCAAUCAACCUGAGCUCGGGCUCGCUGUCGCCAGUGAGCCCCGUGCCGGCCCGCGACACCACGGACAAGGUACAGGAGAUUAAGAGGGAACGCGAGGAGCAGACAGAGGUUGUGAGGAGAUUGGUGCUGGAGAGGCUAGGGAGCGUGCCUAAGGCCAGCCGCAAGUCGGUGAAGCGAUCGCGAGCGUCGCCGGCCGCGGUGCCGCCGCCCGUCCCGCCCCCGCCGAUACUGCCGGCCCCGCCCACGCCGCCUCCGCCCCGCCCUGCGCCUCCCCUCAUGCCUUUGCCCGUAACGUCUUCCUUCUCAGACCCCGAGCUAGCUCGCGAGAGGCGUAGCAAGAGCAUCAUGAAAAGCAUUUCCAAUUACCUGAACCGGAGGCUGGGACCUCGACACAAGUCGUACUCGGAUCCGGAUCUCCAGUGGCACGAGCCGCAGAUACUGUCGAACGCCCACAAGUCCACGGGGGCCUUACAAGAAGCUCCCCCUGUUCCCCCACCCCCAGCCAGCUACUGUCCUCCAGUGGAACACCGACCCACACAUAGAGUAACAGCAGGGCCGAGCAGCAGCGCGGCUGAUGUGGACGAGCGGGAUGCCAUGCAGCUGUGGUUCGAGGCUCGAUGGGCCCGCCUUGUGGCACAGCGGCGCGCCCGAGAAGAACCGCGCGACGAACCCGCCGCCCGACGCCUGGCGAGGCUCGAACGACGAUUAACACGCCCUCUGUCUGCGGAGCAGCAGGCGGCGACGGUGGCAGAACUAGUGCAGGUCUCCGCGCAGAGAGACGCGCACCAAGCUCUCAUGGCGGCCGAUAGGAGGCGAAGUGCAGGCGGCAGUGUGGGCGACUAAGCCUACAAUAGCACAUCACUUGCAUCAACACGUUGUGAUCACAUAUACACACUAAACAUGAAAUUAACGGUUUACAAACAAACAUAAUUACAAAUGAACGGAAUAUUACAUAACAUUUUGUAUCAAUAAUGUUAAUUUCUAGUUUAAUGUAUUCAUUUGAAAAUAUUUAUUAUUCGAUCAUCAAGAAUCACGGAAUUAAAAGUACCUACAUUAGUUUAUAUGACUUAGGAAUAUAUUUUAAACUAUCGACGUUAUUUUGUCAGUUCUCUUUUGAUUUAAAACUAAAAUAUUAUGUCUGGACAUUGCUGAUGUGUUAGGGACAAAAUUAUUUUAAUAUUAGUAUACAGGUAUGCUAAAUUGUACCUUAUUGCAUACGUCAUUUAGGUGGUUUAGCGGUGCUGGAUACAAAUGUUCUAUCGCGUUUGGUUUUUUUAGAAGACAGGGCCAGUAAUGUACUUGUUACUACUCAGUGCUAUGAGCCAAAUGCCAUUUAGUGCUUGUCUACAAAGAGAGUACAAAUCUGAAUUAUAUGGGAUUGACGUAAAUUUUGACAUUUGUUAGUAUUAUUCUUAUACAAAAAGUUUAGUACUUUCUUGGCAGGCACAAUAAUUUUAUCACAUUCACAUAUUUAAUGACAGACUCAAUGAAAUUGACCACAGAUACAGUUACUAUCAUUACUGCGAAUAUUCUAAAAAAACCUUACGUGGUAGAGCAAUUUCUUUAUUUUUAUUUAAAAAUUCGCGUAGAAAAAUAAAUAAAAGGCAUUAUUUCAUGAAAAGCAUACCUGUGUCCGUACCAUAACUCCGUAGUUUAAGUUCCAAUGAUAUCGCUGUACAGUUACAUGUCGGGUAUAUAUAAACCACACCGAAAUGCAAUCAUGUAAUAUAUGUAUUACAUUAUCUUUCUUUAACCUUUUCUCUACUUUAGGAGAAAAUAUAUUAAAGAAAAUCAAUCGUGACGCUCCUCUUAAAGGCCUAUCUAGUAUCGACAUUUAUACAGUAGCCAGCAGAUUAACCUACUCCUUUCUGACAUUACAUUCUCAACUUUCUUAUUUUGAUAUAAAGUCGAGAAUCUACUGACAGAUUGCAGCAGGUUGAUCUACCGCCCACUGUAUUCUGAGCUUUAUUUUUUGAACAAAACGGUCGAAAGCCGAGCGUCAACGGCAAAAGGUCACAAAUCAUUAUACUCCUUUCUAUUUAUUUUACAUUAACCCUUUAUAUACAUUUAGUUGAAUUACUCGGAAUUAAUUUUUUUUUUAUUAGUAAAAUGAAUAUAGAUAGAGUAUGUAUGUAUAAAAGCCCUGUGCGGGUGCAAACAGUGUGCUAGAUACGCCAAAUGUGUUAGGUACAUGAAAAUAUUUUUUUAUUGUAAACCUAGACAGCCAAGGACUUAUUAUAGGUAUAGUAAGGACAUUUAUAAACGCUCUUUAGUACAUAAAGCUGGGAUAUACUACUUUCAUAUUGGCGUCUCGCUCACACAGUUGCCUUUUGCACGUGUAAGACAAAGACAGCUAUAUCUCUAGUGUUGUUGCUUCCAAAUUAAUGUAAGAUAUUGUUAAACAUCACAGUUUCUUGAGAUUAAUGCUGAAUGAGCGUUUAUAAAUGUAGUGUUGAUAUAUAAAGCUGUUUAUUGACUAUUGCUGUCUCGCUUGCUCUCGCGUGUACUGAAACAAAGCUACCGUUAACUCGGUUUUCUGCUGGCAAUCAUAGGCAGACCCAUAGGUCUAUUAUAAGGUGUGAAGGAGAAAUAGGCAAUCGGAGACCAAGAUAUAUUGGUCAUGUAGUUUAGUAACCUAUUGUAUGUCGGAACGCAGAUCUACGCAGGACACAAUAUGUUUUCUAUUGUGUCUCAUAUACCGACAGACAAGAGGUUUUCACGCGAAAAUGAUCUUCGUUAGCAAACACUUCUUUGCAUACAAAUACUAAUAGAUAAAUGUUGUCAUUAAAGCCGUAUUUUCCUUCACACGUACCGAAAUCCGUCGUGUGAUGCUCACGUCUUCAAUAAGCUUUUAAACAAAAUUAAGUAAUGCAGGUUCAAAUUUAUAAUUUUUAACAUAUUCUAUAUGUAAGCGUUUGCAGCUAAGUAUUAUAUAUGUAUUGUCAUAUUUAUCAUAUAAGUUUUAUAGAAAAUUACAGAGGAUAUAAUUAUAUGAAAAAUUUAGAAUACGCCAUCACAGUUUUAUCUUAGAAUCUGUCGCAAGUGUUUGCAACAUAGUAUAUUAUAAUGAGAUGAAGCAAGUAAAAAGAGGGAAUGUCAUAAUGUGAUUGUGCACUGUAACGAAACAAAUCGGCCUUGCCCAAUGAUAUUAUAAGUAAAACGGUGUAGGUAGGUUGUAAGCGCUCAGAAAGUAUUGGAUAUUAUAUAUAUGGGACUGCUGGAUAGAAAAUAUAGUGGGGCGUGGUUUGUAACGCCUCAGACUCCCUGUAAAGUGACCUGACAAAUCCAGUUAUGUCACCACUUCUUUGUAUUUGCUUCAUGAAUCAAAUCAGAUUUGGUUACAACAUGCACUUGUUGACCGUUGAACGCUUUAUUAAAAUAGGUAGAUAAUAGUGGUAGUACAAGCAUGUUCGCACUGCAGCUAGUUUCAAUUAGAUACAUAUAUAGUAUACUGAACAGUCUGCAUUAACUCUUCUGCUCUGGCAUUUAAAAGCUGACGGACUGAGAGAAUAAAACUGGGAAUCAUUAUACUCUACCAGCAGAGUUUAACUGCCUCUUACACAAAAUGUAUAACCAUUCAAUAAUAAAUUGGAAAGGCCUUUCCCUUAGUCCUCCACAUAGAAUUUGUUUGAUAUUUGACAUUAAAAUUCUUUAAUUUUCCUGACAAAAAUCUUGAUCUAUCCAGAGACUCUGGAUCACAAUCAGUCAUUAAUUUUGGCUGCAAGUGUACAGAAAAAUCUUAUUAUACGUUUGACAUCGAUGUAUGACCAAAUUUACGUCAAAUCCGCAUACAGUUUUCUAUUCUCUCAAAUGGAACCAGUAUAGCUUUCUAAUGCCAUUUAGUUCAUAGCACUAGUCUGUCAAAAUGCAGAUUAAAAAGCAAUAUAUUUUUAAUGAUUUCUCGUAUAGACAGUCCAGAGGUAACUAGGGUUUAAACACAACAAGCAAUAACAAUUCUAAAUAAUAUAGGAAACACAAUAUUUAUUAGAGGAGAUACAAGUUAUUUACAAAUAAUUAUUUACUAUACGUAUUUGUAAAUAUUACACAUGAUUAAUAUAAAUAGUUAUUGUAAUAUUAUGAUAAAUAUGACAAUCGCUUUGUUUUAGGUGGGCUUCAGUCCUUGAUAAUGUUCAUAGUAGAGUAUCACGGGAAUAUUAACAACCUUGGUGUUUAAAAUUAUAUUUAAAGAAGUUUCUUAUACGUAAAAUGGCAAUUAUAAACCACACUCAUUUUUGAAAUUAAUAUAAAGAUCAUUACAUUGAUCUUUAACACAUUGAACGCCGUGGUUGUCACGGGUGACUGACGUUAGCGGAGGAUUUGCCUUCAACAGUUUUCUAUUGGCAGUCAAAGACUUAAGAAUCAAACUUUAUGAGAAUACAAGAUCAAUGUAGGCAAAAAAGUCUAUGACAAUAUCUUAAAAUGCUUUUUCUACUGAAUUUCAUUCGAAUUACUACUACAAAGUGAUCGUGUGAAAAAAUAUUUGAAAUAAAUGAUUUUUAUAUGUAUUUUGAACACCGGUUUAUCUACAAGUGUUGUUAUUGUUUCCAGUGGUACAGUUAUACUGUGAACAAAUUCUGGCAAUGUUGAAACAGGUCCUUCCAAGUUGGAUUCUGUUGUCUUGUGUGGAGAAACCGGUAGAUGAAGACUAUCACUUGAAACUGUGGCCUAAAAAGAAAUUCGUGUGUUAUAAGUGAAGUGGCAGAGAAAUUGCCUUCCUUCCUUCUUCUUCCUUCCCUUAGUACAAGUUUGCUUUACGUUUAAAGUAAUCGACGCGAAAGCUCGUUCGGCGCUCUGAUUGGUUGGUUUAUUCGAACCGGCCAAUCGGAGCGCCUAACGAGCUCUCGUUUUGAUCAAAGCACUCUCAUACUAAGGGUUCUGAAUAUAGGUAGUUUAAUGUACUUAAGACACCUCAGAUUAUCCCAGUGUAGUACUACUAUAAAUUAGGAAAAUAUAAUUUGAGUCAAACAGUUUUACAAUACAAUCAAAUCACGAUUCUGUCUUCGUAAAUAUAAUCAUUAUUAAAACGUUUCUCCACACAAAUUCCAAGCUAAGCAAAUGAACUUAGUAUAAGUAGUUGCGAGUUUUCUAUAUAUAAUAUAUGUGUAUUAUAUAAUAAUAUGUAUAUUUUUAUAUAAAUAAUGAGACAGUCACGUGUUUAUGAUGAGCUUUCGAACAGUGACACUUCAGGUGCAUCACAUCAACAUGAAACAUAAUUAUUAUUCUUAUAAAUAUUGUUAUAGAAUUGAAAAUUGAAUGUACGACCGCAAAGGUUCCAUUCGCUAUGUAUCAUAUAGAUUGAACAUAUUUUUUUACCUAUUAGUAAAUGAUAGUCUUCCUGAAUUACCUAGUUUUUCUUCUUUUGUGUUUUUGGCCUUGAAUUACACUUCCAUUGAAGGUAUGUAUAGUAUAGAUGCCAGCAUCAAGAUACCACCAAUGUCUUUUAAGAGAUUAUCAGCUCUAUAGUGUUAUAAUAAAGUUUAAAGCCUAUUGUGGUAACCAGGACCAUAAAAACCACAAAAUAGAGAAUUUCUGCAACAGAUUUUGAAACUAAACCUUUCGUAAUAAAGUUGAUAAUCUUUUAAUGGAAUUUCUUACUUCCAGUGCUUUAUCUUGGUGUUGGUAUAUUAGUUAUUCGUUAAUAGCGGCCUUAAAUUAUAUCAAACAUACUUCUUAGUAAACCAAUACACAAUUUAUACACCAGUAUGAGUUUGCUUUUCGUUUAAAGUAAUAGCGUUCGGCGCUCUGAUUGGCCGGCUCGAAUAAACCAACCAAUCAUAGCGCCGAACGCGCUCUCGUUUCUAUUACUUUAAACUUAAAUCAAACUCGUACUAAGGGUACUGUAUUAUCUGAAUAAAUGAUCAGAAUAUGUACGAUUACAUAUUCUGAACAAGUGUCAAGUUAGUAAUGAUUCUUAUUUUCUUUACAAUAAGAACUAUAAUUACUUGUCUAUCACUAAAUAUUAUUGGGUUUUAAAUAAUAUCUGUUACAAUCAAUCAUCAUUUGGUGCCUUUUUUUCUAUUAUUGUUUUUUUUUUAAAUAUUCAUAGUAUAUUUUGUCUUUAUUUGAUUACUUUAUUACUUGGUUUAUAUCUUUUUAACUAUUUUAAUCUUUACACCGAUAUGUUAAAGCAUUUUGAGACUUAUUUCAUAAGCGUUAGAUGUCAAUAUGUUUACACUGAAAGCAAUAAUACACCAAUUUGAAAUAGAACACGGUACAUAUAGUGUUGAAGGACUAUGUAUAUAUAUUUUGUAGCUACAUAUUGUACCAGGUAUAAACCUUUUUUAUAUAAACUAGGCUAUAGCUAUCACUGAAAUGCAGUUCGCAUAAUAUUAUACACUCAGUAACUAUUCUUAUACAAAUGCAACGUUUUUCUUCAGUAUUAGCAAUAAUUAUGUACAAAUAUGAACAUUUUAUCUUCAUAUUCUCGCUCGCAGUGCCUCAGAUAUGCAAAUAAACAUAUAUUUAUUGAACAAAAUAAUUGUAUAUUGUGUAGAAGCAAAGUAAAACAUACGUUCAAACGAACAUUGUGAAUUGGUUGUGGAUUUCCAACUCUAAAUGCGUUCUAUAAGGUCAAAUUUUCUUUGAUUCGAUGUUGUAUGAUAAGCUUGUACGUAGCGUGGUUCUUGUAUCGCCUUUCGCUGAUCUCUAAAACGUACUAACGGCUGGAGAAUUUGUAAAUAGAACCUUAAGAUCACAUGUAUAAAGUUCGAGAUGAAUUGUACUGUAGUACUCGCUUUGGCUUAUUCAUCAUUGUAUACAUACAUUAUUGUCUCGAAUUGUCAUCUAUGUAAAGUUUAGAAUGCAAUCGAAACUACAUUAGUUUGUACUUUAAUGCAACACAAUCCAUGUUUACCGAAUUAUUUAAUAAACAGCUGUCUUUGUCUCUCCUUACAAUAUUCAUACGAGAGAAAAGGAUGGCAUGAUUCUUCAUACUUUUAUGUGACAAAUGUAAGCUGCUCGUUGUUAAGAAUUUGUAAUUAUUGUUUUAGUUUAGUCCCAGCAUACUAUGUUGGUAAUAUUUUAAGCUUUAAUUUGCAUUAUAUUAUGGUUGACGCACUUUCAAUGCAUGUACGUGUUAAAAAAUAUUUUCAAUUAGGAGUUUUCGUAUACUGUUCACUAGAUGGCGUUAUUGAGACGUAGAGUCUGAUUGGUCCAUUGCAAAAUUAUGUGAAAUGAUUUUUUUUUGUAACCAAUAGUGUUGGAUUCUGAGAUUGGACGUCUUAUGACUCGUCUAGUGAUGCGAAGACUCGCGAAGUGACGUCAUUAUUGUGCUUAGUUUUUCAAGAUGGCUGGCUUGAUACCCUAUUUACUGAAAAUGUUCGUUCAAAGUACCUAUCUAGGCUUUCUUUUGGUCAAAUUAAACAACGGAUUUUAAUCCAAAAUCUUGAUCGAAAAGAUGGAUUUCGGAUUAAGAUCGGUAAGUUAAUUUCGACCAUAAAUCUAUUGUAAUAAGAUAUACAACCAGUUGCAAAGUUUUAUUGUGUCGUAAGUUGAAGUGGAAUUUAAUAGCAAUAGCAGUUGCCUUGGAUAUUGUUUAGUUAUAGCGUUACACCAAUUAGAUCUAUAUUGAAGUUGAGAUUAUAUCCAAACAAGGAUUGAACACAAAGCAAUGUACCUCCUUUUGUAUGCGUAGUUAAUUUCAGAAACUAAUAAAGAAGUAAUAUAUA